rnacentral:RNase_P_RNA from 1 species
UAGGGGAGGUUUGUGGUCGCUCCUGCAUCUUGCUUGUGCAGGAAACAGGAGAGGAAAGUCCGGGCUCCGCAGAGCAGGAUGCCCUCAGAAAUGAGGGGGUCGCCCCAGGCGACACGGAAAGUGCAACAGAAAAUAUACUACUUAGAAAGGAUUUGCUCCAAUGGAGGUGAAUUCACCUGCAAGGAGUCCAUUCCUUUUUAAGAAAAGGUGAAAAGGCGAGGUAAGAGCUCACCGUUCUGAUGGCAACAUCAGAAGCAUGGCAAACCCCAUCCGGAGCAAGGCCAAAAAGGAACUGCGGGUUGCUCGCCCAUUCAUUCGCCUCAAGCGAAUUGAGGUUCCGGGUAGGCCGCAUAGAUAGAUGACCACACCUGCCAUAUGAUGGCAAGGACAGAACCCGGCUUAUAACCUCCCCUUUUUA